CGGAGGGUUGGAUAGUGGUUAAUCCGCCAGUUUUGGGAACUGGAUCUCGGGGGUUCGACUCCCCCCUCUCCGA
rnacentral:tRNA from 1 species